CCGCGUGUGUGAAGAAGGUCUUCGGAUUGUAAAGCACUUUAAGUUGGGAGGAAGGGCAGUAAGUUAAUACCUUGCUGUUUUGACGUUACCAACAGAAUAAGCACCGGCUAACUUCGUGCCAGCAGCCGCGGUAAUACGAAGGGUGCAAGCGUUAAUCGGAAUUACUGGGCGUAAAGCGCGCGUAGGUGGUUCGUUAAGUUGGAUGUGAAAGCCCCGGGCUCAACCUGGGAACUGCAUCCAAAACUGGCGAGCUAGAGUAUGGCAGAGGGUGGUGGAAUUUCCUGUGUAGCGGUGAAAUGCGUAGAUAUAGGAAGGAACACCAGUGGCGAAGG
rnacentral:rRNA from 1 species